AGUAAAAUAAGUUAGAAAAACUGUUGGGCUCAUGACCCAAAUACGAAAGUGAAAUCCUUUCUUUUACUU
rnacentral:tRNA from 1 species